CCUGUCACUCAGCUGAGGCGGGUUCUGCCGGUCUUCAUUUCUACCAGCCGCCUGCUCCCUGCUUCCCCCUCCUAGUUACUCUGUAAACCACCGCCAGCUGGAUGCUUCACGUUUAUCAGUGAAGAGCAGCUGUACUCUCCGAUGUGCACAUCCAAUGGUCAUUUUCCUGUGUCCUGCCAUUUGUGCACGAGACAGUACUGGCUAUGCUUGCAAUGAGAGGUUCAGCUGUUGCCCAAGACAGAAAGCAGUGAGAGCCAGCUGUGCCUAUCACAGCCCAUGCUGCACACCGGCGCAUGUACUAAGAUGACUUUGAGAGUUAUAAAUACCAACUGCAAGUUGGCUGCGCUGGGUGGGGUCCCAAUCAUCACAGAACUCAGUCUGCUGUAGGAAAGGGACAGCGUGGCAAGGGAUUGCAAUACCGCUUCACAGACAUCACAGUGAGGUCAACACUGGGCACGUUGGGUCCCUACAGCAACGGGUCCAGAUCCAGACUGGAGAGGCAAGAUGCUCCACUGCUCAAAGACAAAGCUCUUUCAAGUCUGAGUGGUCCUGCGUGCUGGUGUUAAGUGUGUGCGCACAGGUGUGCACGUGUGUAAGAAACUCCACUUGGACCUCACCAGCCCACGAGCUAAAGAUCUUCCCUGAGUUCCAGCUCACGCUUGCUCACUUCUCACUCCCCAACUCGGGAUUUGCUGGCACCACGGGAGGAGAGGAGACAUGGGACUGACCAGACGGACCCGCCACCCCACUCCCAGCCCACCCUGCAGCACCUGCUUCCCAGGCCUCCACAUUUGCGACUCUACACAGUGACAGACCUGCAGCGAAACCAUGGAAACCUUCCCUCCACUGGCACACUACUCUGAACCCUCAGUCGAAGCUGAACUGUGUUUUUGAUGGAAUCUGUGGACUGAUAAAAAUACAAAGCCCUGGGAGCAAUGGUCUUGGGGAGCAGGCGACUUCGGCAGUGAAGAAUAAAUUUCUCAACUUGUCUCCUA